rnacentral:rRNA from 1 species
CACUUCUAAGGAAGGCAGCAGGCGCGCAAAUUACCCAAUCCUGACUCAGGGAGGUAGUGACAAGAAAUAACAAUAAACCGGCUUAUGCCGGUUUAAUUGGAAUGAGUACAAUUUAAACAUCUUAACGAGGAACAAUUGGAGGGCAAGUCUGGUGCCAGCAGCCGCGGUAAUUCCAGCUCCAAUAGCGUAUACUAAAGUUGUUGCAGUUAAAAAGCUCGUAGUUGGAUUUCUGUGGGGACGGAGCGGCCGGCCGCAACACGCGGUUCGAGCUAGCGCUUUCCCUACAUCCUGCCGCGAACCGUGCUACCAUUAAUUUGGUGGCGCCGGGGAUCGGCUCGAUUACUUUGAGAAAAAUAGAGUGUUCAAAGCAGGCCACAUGCCUUGAAUAAGUUAGCAUGGAAUAAUAACUAAGGACUUCGGUUCUAUUUUGUUGGUGUUCGGGACUGAAGUAAUGAUUGAUAGGGACAGUUGGGGCGGUCUGUAUUCCAAAGCGAGAGGUGAAAUUCUUAGACCUUCGGAAGACAAACAGCUGCGAAAGCGUUCCGCAAGGAUGUUCCCUUUGAUCAAGAACGAAAGUUGGGGGAUCGAAGACGAUCAGAUACCGUCGUAGUCUCAACUAUAAACUAUACCAGCUAGGGAUCGGCCAACGUUAUUUUAUACCGACUUGGUCGGCACCUUAUGAGAAAUCAAAGCAUCUGGGUUCCGGGGGGAGUAUGGUCGCAAGGCUGAAACUUAAAGGAAUUGGCGGAAGGGCACCACCAGCCGUGGAGCCUGUGGCUUAAUUUGACUCAACACGGGAAAACUUACCAGGUCCAGACAUAGUAAGGAUUGACAGAUUGAUAGCUCUUUCUUGAUUCUGUGGGUGGUGGUGCAUGGCCGUUCUUAGUUGGUGGAGUGAUUUGUCUGGUUAAUUCCGUUAACGAACGAGACCCCAGCCUGCUAAAUAGCGCGAGUGAGCUUUGCUCGCUGCGAGCUUCUUAGAGGGACUAUGAUGCGCGAUAGCACAUGGAAGUUUGGGGCAAUAACAGGUCUGUGAUGCCCUUAGAUGUUCUGGGCCGCACACGGGCUACACUGGCGCCUGCAACGGGCAUAUCAGCUGGUCCGAGAGGAUCUUGGCUAAUCUUUUGAACCGGCGCCGUGCUUGGGAUUGACCUUUGCAAUUGUUGGUCAUGCAACGAGGAAUGCCUUGUAAACGCGAGUCAUCAGCUCGCAUUGAAUACGUCCCUGCCCUUUGUACACACCGCCCGUCGCUCCUACCGAUGAAUGUUCCGAUGAAAUUUUCGGAGAGCACCUGUGAACUUGGCUCUGCCUUGCGAACGGGAGGCUCAAAGUCACUUAAAUCUGAACAUUUCGA